AGAGCGAACGCUGGCGGCAGGCUUAACACAUGCAAGUCGAACGGAUCCUUCGGGAUUAGUGGCGGACGGGUGAGCAACACGUGGGAACGUGCCUUUUGGUUCGGAACAACACAGGGAAACUUGUGCUAAUACCGGAUAAGCCCUUACGGGGAAAGAUUUAUCGCCAAAAGAUCGGCCCGCGUCUGAUUAGCUAGUUGGUGGGGUAAUGGCCCACCAAGGCUACGAUCAGUAGCUGGUCUGAGAGGAUGAUCAGCCUCACUGGGACUGAGACACGGCCCAGACUCCUACGGGAGGCAGCAGUGGGGAAUAUUGGACAAUGGGCGCAAGCCUGAUCCAGCCAUGCCGCGUGAGUGAUGAAGGCCUUAGGGUUGUAAAGCUCUUUCGACGGGGAAGAUAAUGACGGUACCCGUAGAAGAAGCCCCGGCUAACUUCGUGCCAGCAGCCGC
rnacentral:rRNA from 1 species